rnacentral:rRNA from 1 species
UACGUAGGGGGCUAGCGUUGUCCGGAAUCAUUGGGCGUAAAGCGCGUGUAGGCGGUUUGGUAAGUCCGCUGUGAAAGUCGGGGGCUCAACCCUCGAAUGCCGGUGGAUACUGUCGAACUAGAGUGCGGAAGAGGCGAGUGGAAUUCCUGGUGUAGCGGUGAAAUGCGCAGAUAUCAGGAGGAACACCAAUUGCGAAGGCAGCUCGCUGGGACGUAACUGACGCUGGAGGCACGAAAGCCGUGGGGAGCAAACAGG